CUGCAGCCCGAGUGGUGAUAGAUUUUAUUGAGCCUAAAGCGUCCGUAGCCGGACUAGUAAACCCUUGGGUAAAUUGGGCAGCUUAACUGUCAAAAUUCCGAGGGGACUGCUAGUCUUGGGACCGGGAGAGGUCAGAGGUACUCAAGGGGUAGGGGCUAAAUCCUGUAAUCCUUUGGGGACCACCAGUGGCGAAGGCGUCUGACUAGAACGGAUCCGACGGUAAGGGACGAAACCCUGGGGCGCGAACCGGAUUAGAGACCCGAGUAGUCC
rnacentral:rRNA from 1 species